GUCUUGCAAUGCCUCAUGGGAGGUGUAGUUCCGCAACAGCUGGAGCGCCGCAGUUUGAAGAUCCCUGCAUUAAGAGGGUCAAGAGGUGCCAGCUUCAAGCCAUUAAGGUAAAAAAAAAACACUUGAGCCUUUAGGCCCACUUUAAGCACAACGCGCCCCAAAAACGAGGCAGCAUGUGUUUUGGAGAAAAGAUCGGCUCUCCUGUGUAAAUCUCAGUACUGAACGGACAAAACUGCAAAUCCUUUGGUAAAAUAACGCUUGUAUGUAUAUAUUUCAGCUAUUUAGCUUUUAACACCCAGGUCAAUUGUGGGUGGGUGGUGCCAGGGCUGAAGUGGUGCCCGCUAGUUAAAUCUCUGACCUGGCAGACAACGAUAUCUGCGCAGAGAACAUCGGACUCCCGGCAUCAGAUCGUCUCCUCCAUGUAGAAUGCUGAAUUCUCCAGGCUCUGCCGAUUGUGGUCAGCAGGGGGCAGCACUUGUAUUGGGUAGAGUGGUGGCUGUAGCUCUCUCCCCCCCCCUCCCCAGGCUCUGCAGAUUGUGGUCAGCAGGGGGCAGCACUUGUAUUGGGUAGAGUGGUGGCUGUAGCUCUCUCCCCCCUCCCCAGGCUCUGCAGGUUGUGGUCAGCAGGGGGCAGCACUUGUAUUGGGUAGAGUGGUGGCUGUAGCUCUCUCCCCCCUCCCCAGGCUCCAGGCUCUGCAGGUUGUGGUCAGCAGGGGGCAGCACUUGUAUUGGGUAGAGUGGUGGCUGUAGCUCUCUCCCCCCUCCCCAGGCUCUGCAGAUUGUGGUCAGCAGGGGGCAGCACUUGUAUUGGGUAGAGUGGUGGCUGUAGCUCUCUCCCCCCCCCUCCCCAGGCUCUGCAGAUUGUGGUCAGCAGGGGGCAGCACUUGUAUUGGGUAGAGUGGUGGCUGUAGCUCUCUCCCCCCUCCCCAGGCUCUGCAGGUUGUGGUCAGCAGGGGGCAGCACUUGUAUUGGGUAGAGUGGUGGCUGUAGCUCUCUCCCCCCUCCCCAGGCUCCAGGCUCUGCAGGUUGUGGUCAGCAGGGGGCAGCACUUGUAUUAGGUAGAGUGGUGGCUGUAGCUCUCUCCCCCUCCCCAGGCUACAGGCUCUGCAGGUUGUGGUCAGCAGGGGGCAGCACUUGUAUUAGGUAGAGUGGUGGCUGUAGCUCUCUCCCCCCUCCCCAGGCUCUGCAGGUUGUGGUCAGCAGGUGGCAGCACUUGUAUUGGGUAGAGUGGUGGCUGUAGCUCUCUCCCCCCUCCCCAGGCUCCAGGCUCUGCAGGUUGUGGUCAGCAGGGGGCAGCUCUUGUAUUAGGUAGAGUGGUGGCUGUAGCUCUCUCCCCCUCCCCAGGCUACAGGCUCUGCAGGUUGUGGUCAGCAGGGGGCAGCACUUGUAUUAGGUAGAGUGGUGGCUGUAGCUCUCUCCCCCCUCCCCAGGCUCUGCAGAUUGUGGUCAGCAGGGGGCAGCACUUGUAUUGGGUAGAGUGGUGGCUGUAGCUCUCUCCCCCCUCCCCAGGCUCUGCAGAUUGUGGUCAGCAGGGGGCAGCACUUGUAUUGGGUAGAGUGGUGGCUGUAGCUCUCUCCCCCCUCCCCAGGCUCCAGGCUCUGCAGAUUGUGGUCAGCAGGGGGCAGCACUUUUAUUGGGUAGAGUGGUGGCUGUAGCUCUCUCCCCCCUCCCCAGGCUCUGCAGAUUGUGGUCAGCAGGGGGCAGCACUUGUAUUGGGUAGAGUGGUGGCUGUAGCUCUCUCCCCCCUCCCCAGGCUCUGCAGAUUGUGGUCAGCAGGGGGCAGCACUUGUAUUGGGUAGAGUGGUGGCUGUAGCUCUCUCCCCCCUCCCCAGGCUCCAGGCUCUGCAGAUUGUGGUCAGCAGGGGGCAGCACUUGUAUUGGGUAGAGUGGUGGCUGUAGCUCUCUCCCCCCUCCCCAGGCUCUGCAGAUUGUGGUCAGCAGGGGGCAGCACUUGUAUUGGGUAGAGUGGUGGCUGUAGCUCUCUCCCCCCUCCCCAGGCUCUGCAGGUUGUGGUCAGCAGGGGGCAGCACUUGUAUUGGGUAGAGUGGUGGUUGUAGCUCUCUCCCCCCUCCCCAGGCUCCAGGCUCUGCCGAUUGUGGUCAGCAGGGGGCAGCACUUGUAUUAGGUAGAGUGGUGGCUGUAGCUCUCUCCCCCCUCCCCAGGCUCUGCAGGUUGUGGUCAGCAGGGGGCAGCACUUGUAUUGGGUAGAGUGGUGGCUGUAGCUCUCUCCCCCCUCCCCAGGCUCUGCAGGUUGUGGUCAGCAGGGGGCAGCACUUGUAUUGGGUAGAGUGGUGGCUGUAGCUCUCUCCCCCCUCCCCAGGCUCCAGGCUCUGCAGAUUGUGGUCAGCAGGGGGCAGCACUUGUAUUGGGUAGAGUGGUGGCUGUAGCUCUCUCCCCCCUCCCCAGGCUCCAGGCUCUGCAGAUUGUGGUCAGCAGGGGGCAGCACUUGUAUUGGGUAGAGUGGUGGCUGUAGCUCUCUCCAGGCUCUGCAGGUUGUGGUCAGCAGGGGGCAGCACUUGUAUUGGGUAGAGUGGUGGCUGUAGCUCUCCCCAGGCUCCAGGCUCUGCAGAUUGUGGUCAGCAGGGGGCAGCACUUGUAUUGGGUAGAGUGGUGGCUGUAGCUCUCUCCCCCCUCCCCAGGCUCUGCAGGUUGUGGUCAGCAGGGGGCAGCACUUGUAUUGGGUAGAGUGGUGGCUGUAGCUCUCUCCCCCCUCCCCAGGCUCCAGGCUCUGCAGAUUGUGGUCAGCAGGGGGCAGCACUUGUAUUGGGUAGAGUGGUGGCUGUAGCUCUCUCCAGGCUCUGCAGGUUGUGGUCAGCAGGGGGCAGCACUUGUAUUGGGUAGAGUGGUGGCUGUAGCUCUCUCCCCCCUCCCCAGGCUCUGCAGGUUGUGGUCAGCAGGGGGCAGCACUUGUAUUGGGUAGAGUGGUGGCUGUAGCUCUCUCCCCCCUCCCCAGGCUCCAGGCUCUGCAGGUUGUGGUCAGCAGGGGGCAGCACUUGUAUUGGGUAGAGUGGUGGCUGUAGCUCUCUCCCCCCUCCCCAGGCUCCAGGCUCUGCAGGUUGUGGUCAGCAGGGGGCAGCACUUGUAUUGGGUAGAGUGGUGGCUGUAGCUCUCUCCCCCCUCCCCGGGGGAGGUGACUGUGAGGACGGGAUCACCGGGAUGACGUAAUAAGCCUAGAGUACGACGCAUUGUUUAUUUUUCUGUUUUUCUGAUUCAAACAAGUUUAUGAAUAAAAAUCCAGUAAAAUA